rnacentral:rRNA from 1 species
UACGUAGGGUGCGAGCGUUGUCCGGAAUUAUUGGGCGUAAAGAGCUCGUAGGCGGUCUGUCGCGUCGAUCGUGAAAACUUGGGGCUUAACCCUGAGCUUGCGGUCGAUACGGGCAUGACUGGAGUUCGGCAGGGGAGACUGGAAUUCCUGGUGUAGCGGUGAAAUGCGCAGAUAUCAGGAGGAACACCGGUGGCGAAGGCGGGUCUCUGGGCCGAUACUGACGCUGAGGAGCGGAAGCGUGGGGAGCGAACAGG